GACGACCGCUGGCGGCGUGCUUAACACAUGCAAGUCGAACGGAAAGGCCCUGCUUUUGUGGGGUGCUCGAGUGGCGAACGGGUGAGUAACACGUGAGUAACCUGCCCUUGACUUUGGGAUAACUUCAGGAAACUGGGGCUAAUACCGGAUAGGAGCUCCUGCUGCAUGGUGGGGGUUGGAAAGUUUCGGCGGUUGGGGAUGGACUCGCGGCUUAUCAGCUUGUUGGUGGGGUAGUGGCUUACCAAGGCUUUGACGGGUAGCCGGCCUGAGAGGGUGACCGGCCACAUUGGGACUGGGAUACGGCCCAGACUCCUACGGGAGGCAGCAGUGGGGAAUAUUGCACGAUGGGCGGAAGCCUGAUGCAGCAACGCCGCGUGCGGGAUGACGGCCUUCGGGUUGUAAACCGCUUUCGCCUGUGACGAAGCGUGAGUGACGGUAAUGGGUAAAGAAGCACCGGCUAACUACGUG
rnacentral:rRNA from 1 species